UACGAAGGGGGCUAGCGUUGCUCGGAAUCACUGGGCGUAAAGGGCUCGUAGGCGGCCAACUAAGUCAGACGUGAAAUCCCUCGGCUUAACCGGGGAACUGCGUCUGAUACUGGAUGGCUUGAGAUUGGGAGAGGGAUGCGGAAUUCCAGGUGUAGCGGUGAAAUGCGUAGAUAUCUGGAGGAACACCGGUGGCGAAGGCGGCAUCCUGGACCAACACUGACGCUGAGGAGCGAAAGCCAGGGGAGCAAACGGG
rnacentral:rRNA from 1 species